rnacentral:rRNA from 1 species
UGGGGAAUUGUUCACAAUGGGCGCAAGCCUGAUGACGCAACGCCGCGUGGGGGAUGAAGGUCUUCGGAUCGUAAACCCCUGUCGAAUGGGACGAAAGACUCGCGAGUGAAUACUUCGCGAGAGUGACGGUACCGUUAAAGGAAGCCACGGCUAACUCUGUGCCAGCAGCCGCGGUAAUACAGAGGUGGCAAGCGUUGUUCGGAAUUACUGGGCGUAAAGGGUGUCGAGGCGGUUGUAUUAGUCGUUCGUAAAAUCUACGAGCUUAACUUGUAGGCGGCGAACGAAACGGUACGACUUGAGGUUUGGAGAGGUGCGUGGAACUCACGGUGUAGGGGUGAAAUCCGUUGAUAUCGUGGGGAACACCAAAGGCGAAGGCAGCGCACUGGCCAAAAUCUGACGCUCACACACGAAAGCUAGGGUAGCGAAGAGGAUUAGAUACCCUCGUAGUCCCUGAGCGGGCUGGCAAGGCGCAU